rnacentral:rRNA from 1 species
GACGAACCGUGCGAACGUUGUUCGGAAUCACUGGGCUUAAAGGGCGCGUAGGCGGGCGAGCGAGUCCGGGGUGAAAUCUUUCGGCUUAACCGGAAAAGGGCCUCGGAUACCGGUCGUCUGGAGGGAGGUAGGGGCAGCUGGAACUUCCGGUGGAGCGGUGAAAUGCGUUGAUAUCGGAAGGAACGCCGGUGGCGAAAGCGAGCUGCUGGACCGACACUGACACUGAGAGACGAAAGCUAGGGGAGCGAAUGGG